CCCCCAGGCACCUCCAUGUUGUCGCCCGCACUGAGGUGGUUGGCUGUGACGCCGAGCAGCUCCAGUGCUGGCGCACAGAGAGGCCUGGAAGAGGCUGUACCGCGCCGCAGAGCUCACGGGAAACUCUUGGUUUUUGGUUUUUCUCAGCGAUUGUUGGUCACGCUGUGCUUUCAGCACUGAGCUUUUGUUCCUUCUCCUCCCCACCUACCACACAAUCAUCCGACUGUGCGACGAUCUGGCCACCCAGCCCCUCCCCUCGCAAAAAACACGAGACCGGAGGAACUCCUCUCCAUCCGCAUCCGAGCGAGUGGCAGGUGCAUCUAUGAGCAGCAUGAGAGGAUUUCAAGGUCAAGAUGUGAUACUACUUCUCCUCUUCAGACUGAAAGAAGCCAAGGUGCACCACAGAAGAGCAAGAAGCAACAGAACAAGCUGUAGCAGGAGAAAAUACGAUUAGAUAUUAGGAAAUAUUUUUUCACAAUUAGGGUGGUCAGACCUGGAACACACUGUCCAGAGAUUGUGUAACAUCCAGCCUUGGUGAUCUUCACAGCUCAACAAGACAAAGCCCUGAUCUGGCUCUGAAGGUGGACUUGGUACAAAGAUUGGCCACACUGUGCAAAGGGUUGGACCAACUGACCUUCAGAGGUCCACUGUUAUGCGGAGGGUGUGAUCAGAUGACCUCCGGAGGUGCCUUCUAACCUGAAUUAUUACAGGAGUCAUGAAUCUGUAAUUGCAGAAGCUGGUUGCAUUUCACUACAUUACAGUGCCCUGUGCAACACCCUGCAGCAACUUUGAAAUCCUCUUCGCUAGUUCAUGCAGUCUCAGUCACUGGUCCCUAGCCUCACUGGAGAAGCCCAGGUGACCCCCAGUAAAGUGAAGGCUUAAGGAACUGCUCUGACAGUCUCUAUUACACACCCUCAGGCCACUCGGGAGCAGGGACUGGCAGAGCCUGGCUUCACAGCGCAUCCUGCACAGGGAAGCACCAGGUGGCCAUGCUGCCCAUGUAGGGAUGUCUCUUCAAACGUGUCAAGGCACUGUCCAGUCCUUCAUUCCCCUGACUGACUGUGCUCUCACAGGAGUAGGAGGCCUGCUGGCAAGAAGGGUGUCACCAACACAGCUGGAGCAGAGCAGGACCAGUUGUGAUGUGGCAGCAUCCAUGGAGCUGGCCAGCUGCACACCACACCUGGGCUGUUGGAGCUUUGCCAUACUUGCCAGCAGCCCCUCUGCAUUCACACUCUGGCUUGCCUUUGGACAAAAGAGCCCCAUAAUCAUCUGCUAGCCAUGUGGAAAAUCCCUCUAGGAUAGCUCUUUGCUGCUGACUAAAUCCAUUUCUCCUUGUCACUUCUCCAACUCUUCAAAAAGGAGCCAGAUCAGCCUCAAGAGGGAUGAUAGCCUCCAUCCCAGUGUGCUCAGAUUUUGAAAUCCUUCAGGGUCACCUUUUGCUUUGGCUGCCAUGCUGCAGAAAAUUGCUACCCACUCUUCUUCUUCCCCUAAGCACCUGCUUCCAGCAACAGCAGUGGAAGAGCAAAGAGACUGAUAGAGGUUUGAGAGGUGUCUUUGGAGUGGGAAGCAACUACAUUUUUGGGGUUUGCAUAUGGAGCAUUCCAUGCAGAAAGAUACGUCCCAUUUCCCAACCAUCAAUAUGCAGUGUGUUUCCCCACCAUUGACUUCCCAGCCUGAUGCCCCAGGGUGAUUUAUAAAAUGGAAGGGUGAGCUAAGAGCUAGAAUUCAGUCCCCGUAGCUGGCAAAACUCACGGACUCAGUAAACACUCUAUCUUAGUACACAGUACUGCUUAUUCCUUGCUGUUUCCUAUCCCUUACCCUUUCACGGGUUACAGGCAAAAGACCUUUCUGCCUUUUUCUUGAACUACCCAGAUGACUGCCCUUCAGAUCCACUGACCAUGACAGGGGAAACAAGAUGGCACAAAUGGCCAUGAAGAUGGAAACACUUUCUUGGAUCCUGUGAAGAUGGAGAAAUAAAAAAGAGCAGCUGGAACUGGUGCUGCAAGAGAUCUAAGUAACACUGCAGGGCCUGGGUGGGUUAAGUGACCUAGCUGGAUUGCUAGUGUUGUUGGAUGCAAACAGGCACGACAGAGAUGGGAGCAGGAAUGAUCCUUCUCAUUCAAAACCUGUCCACACACCACGGAAUACCAGCAGAUACUAAUGGAAAGUGUAAUGGUGAGAGUACAAAGACAUAAUAAAGCAGCAGAAAAAUCAGAGCUGGCAUCUGCUGUAAAGCAUGCACAGCCCAAGAAAGAAAUCAAUAAAUUCCUGCCUAGUCACAUAACACUAAUGGCAAGGUCCCAGUGCUCAGUAGUCAUGGAGGAUUUUAAUUACAGUUCCCACAUAUCUGCUGGGAAAUGCACAAUGCUAAACACCAGCCAGCAGGGACAUUCUCAAAGGGUUUCAAUACCAUUUUCUGAUUCAAAGCGCUGGAGAGACGUGUUAGGCUGCUAGCUCAGUAAACCAGUAAUGGGAUAUGGAGCCUUUCACCUCGAGGUCACCUUCUAGUGACCCAUAGUUAUUACCAUCUGAUUGCUGCUGCCUGUGUGAAAUGAGGUGAGGAGCUUGGACCAGCUCCUCAUGGCCAAGCAUCUCUACUGCCCUAAACCUAGCGCUGCAAUUGUUGCUAGUUGGUCCCGCUGGCAGAGGGCUUCUGCAGAAGGCUGGGGCUCCUUGAUCCCUGCUCCUGGGGGCCAUGUUCCGAGGCAGCGUUCCUGAGCAUUGCCUGUCCAGCAUCCCUGGGAGGCUCUGACCAGUGCCCCCGGGGGCUGGAGCUGGGAUGGCUGGGUGGGCUGGAGCUACCAAGGGGCCUUUCCUCUCGGGGAGGGAAGGUUCUCAGGGAGGAGGGUGAUUCCUCUGGGCAGCAAGGAUUAGGAAGGGCCGUCUCCUUUAAGAAAGGGAGAAGCCCCCCUUUCAGCAGGCUCUCCCAGCUGACGCACAAUGGCAUGCCACCUCCUUGCCGGCACAGAAAUGAUAAUCAGAGGUUCAGCAAACAGGAGA